rnacentral:misc_RNA from 1 species
CGGAGAGAAUUUUUGUAUUAGUUGUUUGGAUUUUGGGAUUUUGGGAUUCUGGAUUGUUGAUUCUGUAUUUUGUAUGUGAUGAUGCAUGUUUUGGAGAUUUUUAGUUUGUGGGAAAGCUGAAUAGAUGAAAUAAAAUUGUUAUAAUAAUUAGUUUGUUUAAUCUUAGAAUACAAAAAUUGAUAUGUUAGCACCAGUUUUGAUCUGCUAUAUUGUUGCAUCCAAAUGGAGAUCCUGUUAUUCUUGUUUGCUUGUUUGCAAUGGGUUAAUUGAUCCGGUAGCACAACUCACAGCUG